rnacentral:rRNA from 1 species
CCUACGGGCGGCAGCAGUGGGGAACAUUGGACAAUGGGCGAAAGCCUGAUCCAGCCAUGCCGCGUGUGUGAAGAAGGCCUUCGGGUUGUAAAGCACUUUCAGUGGGGAAGAAAGCCUUGGGGCUAAUACCCUCGAGGAAGGACAUCACCCACAGAAGAAGCACCGGCUAACUCCGUGCCAGCAGCCGCGGUAAUACGGAGGGUGCGAGCGUUAAUCGGAAUUACUGGGCGUAAAGCGCGCGUAGGCGGUCUGAUAAGCCGGUUGUGAAAGCCCCGGGCUCAACCUGGGAACGGCAUCCGGAACUGUCAGGCUAGAGUGCAGGAGAGGAAGGUAGAAUUCCCGGUGUAGCGGUGAAAUGCGUAGAGAUCGGGAGGAAUACCAGUGGCGAAGGCGGCCUUCUGGACUGACACUGACGCUGAGGUGCGAAAGCGUGGGUAGCAAACAGGAUUAGAUACCCUUGUAGUC